GUGCUCACUUUGGGAGCACAUAUACUAAAACUGGAAUGAUACAGAGAAAAUUAGCAUGGCCCCUGUGCAAGGAUGACAAGAAAAUUCAUGAAAAAUUCCAUAUUUUU
ensembl:snRNA U6 U6 spliceosomal RNA